CGUCAUGUCGGAUGCCCAAGGAAGAAAAUAAGACAAAAGAAGACUAGGGGAAAACGUGAAAGAAAUGGAGAUGCAUUGCUGAGAUAAUUAAGUGCUACCUCUGGGCCUUCUGCAUCCCCACAAAGCACUUUUCCUGUUGCCUCUACGUCACAGGAGCUCGUCCAUGCAUCAGAAUUAAAGAGUGCACUGAUACAUGUCGCUGACUGGCUGUGUCGACUAAGUGAUCAGAUUCUUACUCUGUGGCCCGGCAGCCGCUGGGUCCUUCCAGGCUGACCCACGACAAAAUGAACAUCUGCCAUCAGCUCAUUGUUGAACAUCACUGAAUUUCUGAAGGGAGAGAAAAGCAGAACAACAAAAUCAACAGACGAACAAGACAACAAACUUAAUGGAAAGUCCCCGCUGUGAAAGAACGGGACCAACAAUAAAGCUGUGCUCAUAUAUUAUUGAGUACAUGUCACUGGGGUGGGUAAACAGCCCCGCGACGAUCUGGAGAGACAACAAAAGCCAGCACAGAUCAUCCUCUGCAUGUUGUGCAUAUCAAACACACUUGCUGCCUGUCUGUUCUCCACUGCAUCAGAGCAGUGAAGGCUUGGAGGAGUAGGAGAGGCUGCAAACAGAGGUCUCCCCAACAGAAUGAGGACAGUGCUGACAGAACACCGGCACAACGGCAGGGGCCGGUUGCAGCUGUCGAGGUACACCAAGGUUUUAAACACGUACGGUUAACAUGUGCAGUUUAAAGCUGUUUCAAUAAGAUUCCAGUGGAUUGGCUGGAAUUGUCUCUCCCAGUGAUUGCUGAGCACUGCUUGUCCAGAUGGCUGAGAGAAGGCUCCUUCCUACACUUUUCUCUUGCUCACAAAAAUGGUAAAUUUUGUCGUUUGGAAACAUUCCAAUUUGUGAAACACAUGAACAAUAUGUAAUGUAAAAUACUGCAACCCAUUGCUCUUAUUAAGGUAAUAUUGUUUUAAAUUUGAUAAGCUGCAGAGUGCCAGAUAGCUACCUAAGCAGAUAGCCAGACCACCUAACCUGCUAAUAUCAGAUUGUUACACUACUAUGAAGAUUAUGAAUAUUUGAAGUUCAAUUUCCCAACUGCAAUAAGCAAGAAUUUUAACACCAAUACAAAUUAUUUAUGGUCUUCUUUAAUAAAAACAACAUUUUUAUAUUUUUUGUUUUAAUUUUCAUUCAAUGAUCCUUAUACUGUUUUUUUAAGACAAUCACACCAUGACACUCUCACAUUCCCUAUAGCUAACCACAAAUAUGAAGGUCACUAGCUUGCAUUAGUCCUGUCUGAGAUACUGAUAUAUGAGAAUCUUUACACAAAUUUCUCAUUUAUCAGUACGCUUAAAAAUCUCCAAAUAGUUGCAGUCAUGAGAAUCAUUUGUGCUGCAGUGUGCAGCUUCCUUGU